rnacentral:misc_RNA from 1 species
GAGAAGAACGCAGCGAAAUGCGAUACGUAAUGUGAAUUGCAGAAUUCAGUGAAUCAUCGAAUCUUUGAACGCACAUUGCGCCCGCCAGUAUUCUGGCGGGCAUGCCUGUUCGAGCGUCAUUACAACCCUCAGGCCCCCGGGCCUGGCGUUGGGGAUCGGCGGAGCCCCCCGUGGGCACACGCCGUCCCCCAAAUGCAGUGGCGGUCCCGCCGCAGCUUCCAUCGCGUAGUAGCUAACACCUCGCGACUGGAGAGCGGCGCGGCCACGCCGUAAAACACCCAACUCUUCUGAAGUUGACCUCGAAUCAGGUAGGAAUACCCGCUGAACUUAAGCAUAUCAAUAAGCGGAGGA